rnacentral:rRNA from 1 species
GAUCAUGGCUCAGACUGAACGCUGGCGGCAGGCCUAACACAUGCAAGUCGAACGGUAACAGGAAGAAGCUUGCUUCUUUGCUGACGAGUGGCGGACGGGUGAGUAAUGUCUGGGAAACUGCCUGAUGGAGGGGGAUAACUACUGGAAACGGUAGCUAAUACCGCAUAACGUCGCAAGACCAAAGAGGGGGGACCUUCGGGCCUCUUGCCAUCGGAUGUGCCCAGAUGGGAUUAGCUUGUUGGUGGGG